GAGGUGAGAAAAACUACUGUAAACAGAAGCUGAGGACCAGAUUCCCAGUUUAGCUUGUCAGCCCUGAGCUGGACUAGCCGACUAGAGCAAGGAGACAGUUCCUUGCCGACUCUCUCCUUGACGAUGCCAGGAUUCAAUCAUCCUGUAAAUAACAUUGAGUUGGGAAUUUCUCUAUCCACAGUGUGAUGGUCU
rnacentral:lncRNA from 1 species